GGUUGACCUCGGAUCAGGUAGGAAUACCCGCUGAACUUAAGCAUAUCAAUAAGCGGAGGAAAAGAAACCAACAGGGAUUGCCUCAGUAACGGCGAGUGAAGCGGCAACAGCUCAAAUUUGAAAUCUGGCCCAGCGCCCGAGUUGUAAUUUGUAGAGGAUGCUUUAGGCGCGGCGCCUUCCGAGUUCCCUGGAACGGGACGCCACAGAGGGUGAGAGCCCCGUAUGGUNGGACGCCAAGCCACUGUAAAGCUCCCUCGACGAGUCGAGUAGUUUGGGAAUGCUGCUCAAAAUGGGAGGUAAAUUUCUUCUAAAGCUAAAUACCGGCCAGAGACCGAUAGCGAAAAAGUAGAGUGAUCGAAAGAUGAAAAGCACUUUGAAAAGAGGGUUAAACAGCACGUGAAAUUGUUGAAAGGGAAGCGCCUGUGACCAGACCUGCGCCCUGGGGAUCAUCCGGCGUUCUCGCCGGUGCACUCCGCUGGGCUGCAGGCCAGCAUCGGUUCUCCUAGGGGGAUAAAAGCACUGGGAACGUGGCUCCUUAGGGAGUGUUAUAGCCCGUUGCACAAUACCCUUGGGGGGACCGAGGUACGCGCUCCGCAAGGAUGCUGGCGUAAUGGUCAUCAGCGACCCGUCUUGAAACACGGACCAAGGAGUCAAGCAUUAGGGCGAGUGUUUGGGUGCAAAACCCGCACGCGAAAUGAAAGUGAACGCAGGUGAGAGCUUCGGCGCAUCAUCGACCGAUCCUGAUGUUCUCGGAUGGAUUUGAGUAAGAGCCUUACCGCUUGGACCCGAAAGAUGGUGAACUAUGCCUGUAUAGGGUGAAGCCAGAGGAAACUCUGGUGGAGGCUCGCAGCGGUUCUGACGUGCAAAUCGAUCGUCAAAUAUGGGCAUGGGGGCGAAAGACUAAUCGAACUAUCUAGUAGCUGGUUACCGCCGAAGUUUCCCUCAGGAUAGCAGUGUUGUUUUCAGUUUUAUGAGGUAAAGCGAAUGAUUAGGGACUCGGGGGCGCUAUUUUGCCUUCAUCCAUUCUCAAACUUUAAAUAUGUAAGAAGCCCUUGUUACUUUGUUGAACGUGGGCCUUCGAAUGCAGCAACACUAGUGGGCCAUUUUUGGUAAGCAGAACUGGCGAUGCGGGAUGAACCGAACGCGGGGUUAAGGUGCCAGAGUGGACGCUCAUCAGACACCACAAAAGGCGUUAAUACAUCUUGACAGCAGGACGGUGGCCAUGGAAGUCGGAAUCCGCUAAGGACUGUGUAACAACUCACCUGCCGAAUGUAUUAGCCCUGAAAAUGGAUGGCGCUCAAGCGUCCCACCCAUACCCCGCCCUCAGGGUAGAAACGAUGCCCUGAGGAGUAGGCGGCCGCGGGGGCGGUGACGAAGCCCAGGGCGUGAGCCCGGGUCGAACCGCCUCUGGUGCAGAUCUUGGUGGUAGUAGCAAAUACUUCAAUGAGAACUUGAAGGACCGAAGUGGGGAAAGGUUCCAUGUGAACAGCGGUUGGACGUGGGUUAGCCGAUCCUAAGCCAUAGGGAAGUUCCGUUUCAAAGGGGCACUCGUGCCCCGAAUGGCGAAAGGGAAGCAGGUCAAUAUUCCUGCGCCUGGAUGCGGGUUUUUCGCGGCAACGCAACCGAACGCGGAGACGGCGGCGGGGGCCCCGGGCAGAGUUCUCUUUUCUUCUUAACGGUCUGCCACCCUGAAAACAGUUUGUCUGGAGAUAGGGUCCCAUGGCCGGAAGAGCCCAGCACCUCUGCUGGGUCCGGUGCGCCCCCGACGUCCCUUGAAAAUCCGCGGGAGGGAAUAAUUCUCGCGCCA
rnacentral:rRNA from 1 species